rnacentral:rRNA from 1 species
AGCGAACGCUGGCGGCAGGCUUAACACAUGCAAGUCGAACGCCCCGCAAGGGGAGUGGCCGCCGGGUGAGUAACGCGUGGGAACAUACCCUUUUCUACGGAAUAGCUCUGGGAAACUGGAAUUAAUACCGUAUACGCCCUACGGGGGAAAGAUUUAUCGGGGAAGGAUUGGCCCGCGUUGGAUUAGCUCGUUGGUGGGGUAAAGGCCUACCAAGGCGACGAUCCAUAGCUGGUCUGAGAGGAUGAUCAGCCACAUUGGGACUGAGACACGGCCCAAACUCCUACGGGAGGCAGCAGUGGGGAAUAUUGGAAAAUGGGCGCAAGCCUGAUCCAGCCAUGCCGCGUGAGUGAUGAAGGCCUUAGGGUUGUAAAGCUCUUUAACCGAUGAAGAUAAUGACGGUAGUCGGAGAAGAAGCCCCGGCUAACUUCGUG